UACGUAGGGUGCGAGCGUUGUCCGAAUUAUUGGGCGUAAAGAGCUCGUAGGCGGCUUGUCGACGUCGGAUGUGAAAGCCCGGGCUUAACUCCGGGUCUGCAUUCGAUACGGGCAGGCUAGAGUUCGGUAGGGGAGAGUCGGAAUUCCUGGUGUAGCGGUGAAAUGCGCAGAUAUCAGGAGGAACACCGGUGGCGAAGGCGGAUCUCUGGGCCGGUACUGACACUGAGGAGCGAAAGCGUGGGUAGCAAACAGG
rnacentral:rRNA from 1 species